GACUGCCCCAGAUUGUCCUCUCAGCGGCCAAAUAUCAUAAUAGAACGGACUUUUGGCAAUGUUACUGACACAGAAAGGCAAUAAUGACUUGGUUGUCAAUACCCAGAGCACGAUACAUCCAUGCUGACAAAGAAAGGCAGUAAUGACUUGGUUGUGAACACCCAGAGCGCCAUACAUCCAUGCUGACACAGUAAGGCAGUAAUGACUUGGUUGUGAACACCCAGAGCACAAUACAUCCAUGCUGACACAGAAAGGCAGUAAUGACUUGGUUGUGAACACCCAGAGCACAAUACAUCCAUGCUGACACAGAAAGGCAGUAUGACUUGGCUGUGAACACAGAACACAAUACACCCAUGCUGACACAGAAAGGCAGUAAUGACUUGGUUGUGAACACCCAGAGCAAGAUAUUUCCAUGCUGACACAGAAAGGCAGUAAUGACUAUGCUGUGAACACCUUGAGCAAGAUAUAUCCUUGCUAACACAGAAAGGCAGUAAUGACUAUGCUGUGAACACCCGGAGCAUAAUACAUCCAUGCUGACACAGAAAGUUAGUAAUGACUAUGCUGUAUACACCCGGAACACAAUACAUCCAUGCUGACACAGAAAGGCAGUAAUGACUUGGUUGUGAACACCCAGAGCACAAUACAUCCAUGCUGACAAAGAAAGGCAGUAAUGACUUGGCUAUGAACACAUAACACGAUACACCCAUGCUGACACAGAAAGGCAGUAAUGACUUGGCUGUGAACACAGAGCGCAAUACAUCCAUGCUGAAACAGAAAGGCAGUCAUGACUAUGCUGUGAACACCCAGAGCACGAUAUAUCCACGCAUACGCAGAAAGGCAGUAAUGACUAUGCUGUGAACACCCAGAGCAAGAUAUAUCCAUGCUGACACAGAAAGGCAGUAAUGGCUAUGCUGUGAACACCCAGAGCAAGAUAUAUGGAUGCUGACACAGAAAGGCAGUAAUAACUAUGCUGUGAACACUCAGAGCACAAUACAUUCAUGGUGACACAGAAAGGCAGUAAUGACUUGGUUGUGAACACCCAGAGCAAGAUAUAUCCAUGCUGACACAGAAAGGCAGUAAUGACUUGGCUGUGAACACAGAACACGAUGCACCCAUGCUGACACAGAAAGGCAGAUAUGACUUGGCUGUGAACACAGAGCACAAUACUUCCAUGCUGACACAGAAAGGCAGUUAUGACUUGGUUGUGAACACAGAGCACAAUACAUCCUUGUUGACAUAGAAAGGUAGUAAUGACUUUGCUGUGAACUCAGAGCACGAUACAUCCAUGCUGACAGAGAAAGGCAGUAAUGACUUUGCUGUGAACUCAGAGCACAAUAUAUCCAUGCUGACACAGAAAGGCAGUAAUGACUUGGAUGUAAAUACCCAGAGCACAAUACAUCCAUGCUGACACAGAAAGGCAGUAAUGACUUUGCUGUGAACUCAGAGCACGAUACAUCCAUGCUGAGACAGAAAGGCAGUAAUGACUUGGAUGUAAACACCCAGAGCACAAUACAUCCAUGCUGACACAGAAAGGCAGUAAUGACUUUGUUGUAAACACUAAGAGAUCCAUACAUCCAUGGGGUGUGAAACAGACGCAAAUUACGCCCACUAUUUUGAACAAGGUGCUUAAAGUGAACACGUCUAGUUUCUGUUAUGAGCACUUAGCACUCCGAGUCCAAAAGGCCUCGCAUUGAAUUGAUGUGAGAGAAGGCUUUGAAAAAUAACAGCAGUUUUGUUGUGUGGUCCAAUACGCCCUUCGACUCUCAACCUGAAGAAAUCAAAACUCAAACUCGUCUCUUAGCAAUAUCAGCAAGGCCAGCAUGUCAUCUCAGCUUCUUGAACUUCAGUGAACUUAACUAGCAAACAUGACAAACGUCAUUGAAGUGAAAGUCGAUGACAACCCCCUUCUUGCACAAAUACUACAAUUGCUUAAGAAAUUCAGCACGAAGACGUCUUGCGUCAGACUACCAAGCCUCCUAUUAAUAUCUUCUCCCAUGUUGGCUACAUCAACACUUCCAACAGCAGAGCCUUGGUGAGUUCGACUUCCGUCUCGGCAUCGAUGUCGCUUAGCAACAAUUGGAUGAUGGGCGUCGACAAAUUAGGCCGGACAAGUCGCUCAAACUGAAAUGAUCUGAUCCAACAGGUAGAGCAGGCGUUGCGUGACACGUCCGUUAAUGUGACUGACCUCGAUAUGUUGUUCUCGAAUAAUGUGAACCUUAGGCCUGGAGAGCAGUAUGCGAUUGACGCCAUUCAACAACAGUUGUUCUUGGCAAUUCUCAAGUUUGGGGUGGCGACUUCAGCGUCAGGACUUGCUCCAUCUCUGUCUAUGGCCCAGUCGCAGCAGCAGCAGCAACAAGAACAAUAAGUAGUAUCUUAGCGGUGUUCUGGGAUAUGCGGCUUCAUCCUGUUCCUACAGGAACCCAUGCAAUCAUAGAUCGGUACC